AUUGAACGCUGGCGGCAUGCCUUACACAUGCAAGUCGAACGGCAGCGCGGGAGCAAUCCUGGCGGCGAGUGGCGAACGGGUGAGUAAUAUAUCGGAACGUGCCCAGUAGUGGGGGAUAGCCCGGCGAAAGCCGGAUUAAUACCGCAUACGACCUACGGGUGAAAGGGGGGGAUCGCAAGACAUCUCGCUAUGGGAGCGGCCGAUAUCAGAUUUGGUAGUUGGUGGGGUAAAGGCCAACCAAGCCUAAGAUCUGUAGUUGGUCUGAGAGGACGACCAGCCACACUGGGACUGAGACACGGCCCAGACACCUACGGGAGGCAGCAGUGGGGAAUUUUGGACAAUGGGGGCAACCCUGAUCCAGCAAUGCCGCGUGCAGGAAGAAGGCCUUCGGGUUGUAAACUGCUUUUGUCAGGGAAGAAAUCCCUUGGGUUAAUACCUCGGGGGGAUGACGGUACCUGAAGAAUAAGCACCGGCUAACUACGUGCCAGCCGCCGCAGUAAGAC
rnacentral:rRNA from 1 species